rnacentral:miRNA from 1 species
ACUCUCCUCCGGUUGAUGAGGAAGCUAAACCUCAUUAACCGGAAGGGAUCCCUUCCAGUCAAUGAGGUUUAGCUUCCUCACUGACCGGAAGGGGUU